rnacentral:rRNA from 1 species
AUGGUUGUCGUCAGCUCGUGUCGUGAGAUGUGGGUUAAGUCCCGCAACGAGCGCAACCCUACUUGCUAGUUACCAUCAUUAAGUUGGGGACUCUAGCGAGACUGCCAGUGAUAAACUGGAGGAAGGUGGGGAUGACGUCAAAUCAUCAUGCCCCUUAUGACCUGGGCUACAAACGUGAUACAAUGGCUGGAACAAAGGGAUGCGAAGCAGUGAUGUGGAGCGAAACCCAUAAAAACAGUCUCAGUUCGGAUUGAAGUCUGCAACUCGACUUCAUGAAGUCGGAAUCGCUAGUAAUCGCGGAUCAGAACGCCGCGGUGAAUACGUUCUCGGGGUUU